ACGAUACAAAGCAAGGAUGAAAGUAAGAAAGGUGGACGACAGCGGGCAUAAUUUUCUGCUCUUUUCUUUCUUUCUUUCUUUCUUUCUUUUGUUUCGU
rnacentral:miRNA from 1 species